GCACCUGUAGCUCAGUUGGUUAGAGCGCACGCUUCACACGCGUGAGGUCCCCAGUUCAAGUCUGGGCAGGUGCA
rnacentral:tRNA from 1 species